UACGUAGGGUGCGAGCGUUGUCCGGAAUUAUUGGGCGUAAAGAGCUUGUAGGCGGUCUGUCGCGUCUGCCGUGAAAGUCCGGGGCUCAACUCCGGAUCUGCGGUGGGUACGGGCAGACUAGAGUGAUGUAGGGGAGACUGGAAUUCCUGGUGUAGGCGGUGAAAUGCGUAGAUAUCAGGAGGAACACCGGUGGCGAAGGCGGCUAUCUGGACAGAGUCUGACGCUGAGGCACGAAAGCGUGGGGAGCAAACAGG
rnacentral:rRNA from 1 species